CAAGUCGUACGCACUGGCCCAACUGAUUGAUGGUGUUUGCACCUGAUUGCCCAUUGAUCACCAGUGAGUGGCGGACGGGUGAGUAACACGUACGUAACCUGCCCCGGAGCGGGGGAUAACAUUUGGAAACAGAUGCUAAUACCGCAUAACAACAAAAGCCACAUGGCUUUUGUUUGAAAGAUGGCUUUGGCUAUCACUCUGGGAUGGACCUGCGGUGCAUUAGCUAGUUGGUAAGGUAACGGCUUACCAAGGCGAUGAUGCAUAGCCGAGUUGAGAGACUGAUCGGCCACAAUGGAACUGAGACACGGUCCAUACUCCUACGGGAGGCAGCAGUAGGGAAUCUUCCACAAUGGGCGCAAGCCUGAUGGAGCAACACCGCGUGAGUGAAGAAGGGUUUCGGCUCGUAAAGCUCUGUUGUUGGAGAAGAACGUGCGUGAGAGUAACUGUUCACGCAGUGACGGUAUCCAACCAGAAAGUCACGGCUAACUACGUGCCAGCAGCCGCGGUAAUACGUAGGUGGCAAGCGUUAUCCGGAUUUAUUGGGCGUAAAGCGAGCGCAGGCGGUUGCUUAGGUCUGAUGUGAAAGCCUUCGGCUUAACCGAAGAAGUGCAUCGGAAACCGGGCGACUUGAGUGCAGAAGAGGACAGUGGAACUCCAUGUGUAGCGGUGGAAUGCGUAGAUAUAUGGAAGAACACCAGUGGCGAAGGCGGCUGUCUGGUCUGCAACUGACGCUGAGGCUCGAAAGCAUGGGUAGCGAACAGGAUUAGAUACCCUGGUAGUCCAUGCCGUAAACGAUGAGUGCUAG
rnacentral:rRNA from 1 species